CGAGAGAACACUGACAAUUUCUGCUUGAAAUCACACACAGGAUGCCAUGCCUUAAUGCUUCAGGUGGUCUCUACAGCAUUCCAUGGCUAAGCAGCAGUCGUGGCAUGGCUUGUUGCCUGGAUGCUUACUGAAAUGGCUUCAGAUUGUCUUCCCGGUAACAGCACCACCUUUUGGCUUUCUGCACAAAGCUGACAUUUCCCAUCGGUGGCUCAGCAACGUCCCUGCAGGACACUGGCUUUUCCGGAACAAGAUCUCACUCAUCUUACCUGUGCCAUACCACCAGCAACAACUCUGCCUGGGGAAAAGAGAAGAUCACAAGGCCCUGAAUUGAGCCCAGCACAGCACCUGAGCACCUCAUCUUCUAACUCAAUAGCUUCCUAGAUAAGAUAACAGGUUAGCAAUUAAUUCCAUCUCUACCCAGCUCUGCACUCCACAACCAGCACAGCAGCAGUAACAAGGCUCAAAGCACAGUUAUUUUGCAUACCAAAUGUACACAAACAUGCCAAUCCUUUGACCCUUCUCUAAUUGGGCUACAAACAUGAGGUAAUCAAAUGCGAAGGAACAGUGCUCAUAAAACCAGCUUCUUAGAAACAACCAAGACAUUAUUUGCCCAGAGUGCGUUUUGCACACAGUACUGAAAACAAGAUCCGGAGAGAUUUGUUUUGAGGUCAGGCAGUAAGAAGCUAACAUAGAAGAGAGAUUAUAACCCACGCAUACCUAAACAUGAACUCACCUUAAGCUUUCAGUCAUGCUUGAACAACAACCUGGAACCACAAAUGUUUGUCUCCUCUGUUAGUAUCACAAGCCCUUACAGCUACAACCCAGAAACUGCUGUUUCUUGGAGCAAUUGCUAUAAGACAGACUAUAACCACUGUCACUUAUCUAUCCCCAUGGAUAAACUCACUUUCCUUUAUCAAUCUGACUUUCACCAGCAUGUCUGAGGCCCACCAAAGGGGUCAUGGACAAUGGCAGAGGUGAGGUUCUCCAGGCAUGGGAAAAGCUGAGCAGGUGCUAUUUUGCAUUUUUUAAUGGUACAUAUUCAACCCAGACUCAAUAAUUCAGCUAAAUCAGCUUUAUUUGGGGGAAUACACCUUUCAAUUACACCCCCUUUUGAAACUCACUUGGAAAUACCUGUGAAACCAGAACUAAGCUACUACUUAAAGACCAAUUAAUAAAUGCACCUGCAUGUAGUGUUCA
rnacentral:lncRNA from 1 species